GUAGGUGGCAAGCGUUGUCCGGAAUUAUUGGGCGUAAAGCGCGCGCAGGCGGUCCUUUAAGGUCUGAUGUGAAAGUCCCACGGGCUCAACCGUGGAGGGUCAUUGGAAACUGGGGGACUUGAGUACAGAAGAGGAAAGCGGAAUUCCAAGUGUAGCGGUGAAAUGCGUAGAGAUUUGGAGGAACACCAGUGGCGAAGGCGGCUUUCUGGUCUGUAACUGACGCUGAGGCGCGAAAGCGUGGGGAGCAAACAGGAUUAGAUACCCUGGUAGUCCACGCCGUAAACGAUGAGUGCUAAGUGUUAGGGGGUUUCCGCCCCUUAGUGCUGCAGCUAACGCAUUAAGCACUCCGCCUGGGGAGUACGGCCGCAAAGGCUGA
rnacentral:rRNA from 1 species